rnacentral:lncRNA from 1 species
AGGCACUGACUGCGGAAGAGCUACUUCUGUCCCAGCCCAGAGGACCCGGGAUGAGUCCUCUCCUGGUGAGGGUUUAGCUGCUUGGCUCUAAGUUAGGCAGCUCAGAGCAAGUGUUCAAGCAUGGAGCAGUCCUUAUGCAACAGCUGUGCUGCUCUCCUGAGCCCAAGCCUGUCCUAUAGCUCAUUUUGGGUCAUUUUGAGAUGCAGAGGAUUUUAGGAGUGGUUUCUGCCCUUUCUUGCCCUACUUUCACCACAGUUGUGCUCCCUUGGCUCAGCUUUCUCUGCUCCUUGGGCUUCUAGAGAAGCAAGGUCUUCAGGACAUCUGGAUGGAACACAAAGCAACACUAUUUGAAGCCAAGCCAUGGCGAUCCCUCAUGCAGAUUUUGCUCCUGCUGCUGCUGCAGCCCACCUGUCAGCAGUGUCAGGCAGAGGACCUGGGAAGUAGCUUGGCUGAACACUCUGCAAUUCUCUGCCAGGAAAGGGUCUGAGUCAACAGGUGGCUCAGCUUUGGUGCCUUGACCCAUUGGCCUUUCCUUCCUCAAACAGGCUUGCUUGCAAAGCCUCUGGUCAGUGUGUUCUUGCCAGUAGCUGUCCUCAAAAGCAACAGUGAAGUGGAUAAAGGGAGGAUUCAAGGACAUUUGGAGUUUACUAUUUCGGAGAGACACCAGCUUUGUCAUUGUGUUUGUCUGGCUCCCUUCCCACCCUCACCGGAGGAAAAGCGAAGAGGAACAGCUGACUGCAAAUCCGCUCCGGCGCCCGCGAGCCUCCUCGGCCGGGCAGCGGCUCCUGUUGCUUCUCGGAGCUCCGUUGCCCUUAGGGGAAAUCUCCCGCGCGCCCGCUCGCCGGCGCCGAGGAGAAGAG